UACGUAGGGCGCAAGCGUUAUCCGGAAUUAUUGGGCGUAAAGCGUGCGCAGGCGGUUUGUCGCGUCUGCCGUGAAAGUCCGGGGCUUAACUCCGGAUCUGCGGUGGGUACGGGCAGACUUGAGUGAUGUAGGGGAGACUGGAAUUCCUGGUGUAGCGGUGAAAUGCGCAGAUAUCAGGAGGAACACCGAUGGCGAAGGCAGGUCUCUGGGCAUUAACUGACGCUGAGGAGCGAAAGCAUGGGGAGCGAACAGG
rnacentral:rRNA from 1 species